GACGAACGCUGGCGGCGUGCUUAACACAUGCGAGUCGAACGGAAAGGCCCUGCUUUUGUGGGGUGCUCGAGUGGCGAACGGGUGAGUAACACGUGAGUAACCUGCCCUUGACUUUGGGAUAACUUCAGGAAACUGGGGCUAAUACCGGAUAGGAGCUCCUGCUGCAUGGUGGGGGUUGGAAAGUGUCGGCGGUUGGGGAUGGACUCGCGGCUUAUCAGCUUGUUGGUGGGGUAGUGGCUUACCAAGGCUUUGACGGGUAGCCGGCCUGAGAGGGUGACCGGCCAUAUUGGGACUGAGAUACGGCCCAGACUCCUACGGGAGGCAGCAGUGGGGAAUAGUGCACAAUGGGCGGCAGCCUGAUGCAGCAACGCCGCGUGCGGGAUGACGGCCUUCGGGUUGUAAACCGCUUUCGCCUGUGACGAAGCGUGAGUGACGGUAAUGGGUAAAGAAGCACCGGCUAACUACGUG
rnacentral:rRNA from 1 species